rnacentral:RNase_P_RNA from 1 species
UCUUAAAGCAGAACAAUGGCUCCGAUUACCAGUUUUGGGAAAUCGGAGAGGAAAGUCCAAGCAGCUGGAAGCAAGGUGUCCAAUGUAAAUUGGAUGUCUUUUUUUAAAAGAUCAAGUUAGAGCAACAGUGACGAUUUUUUCCCCGCAUUUUGCGGGGUGAGAAAGUGAAACGUUGACUAAUAGUCAAGUUUUUUGAUCGUAAAGAUCAAAAAAAUGGCAAUCCUCCCUGCUGCAAUCUCCGACCGACUCGUUAUCAAGAUGCUUCCCUGAGAGUCGAAGCUAGAGAGCUUAGAGAAAUCAUUGUCAAAACAGAACUUGGCUUACUCGCUUUAAGACAAA